GAUGAAGAACGCAGCGAAAUGCGAUAAGUAGUGUGAAUUGCAGAAUUCAGUGAAUCAUCGAAUCUUUGAACGCACAUUGCGCCCCUCGGUAUUCCGUGGGGCAUGCCUGUUCGAGCGUCAUUUACCCCUCAAGCACUGCUUGGUGUUGGGCGUCUGUCCCGCUUCGCGCGCGGACUCGCCCCAAAGGUAUUGGCAGCGGUCGUGCCAGCUUCUCGCGCAGCACAUUGCGCUUCUCGAGGCGGUUGAUCGGCGUCCACGAAGCUCACCUCCACCGUUUGACCUCGGAUCAGGUAGGGAUACCCGCUGAACUUAAGCAUAUCAAUAAGCGGAGGA
rnacentral:misc_RNA from 1 species